rnacentral:rRNA from 1 species
AUGCAAGUCGAACGAAGUAGCAAUACUUAGUGGCAGACGGGUGAGUAACAUGUGGGUAUCUACCCUUUGGCCUGGAAUAACACGAGAAAACUUGUGCUAAUACCGGAUAAGUCUUUACGGAGAAAGCUUUAUGCACCAUUGGAUGAGCCCGCACUUGAUUAGUUUGUUGGUAGGGUAAUGGCCUACCAAGACUAUGAUCAAUAGCUGAUUUGAGAGGAUGAUCAGCCACAUUGGGACUGAGACACGGCCCAAACUCCUACGGGAGGCAGCAGUGGGGAAUCUUGCACAAUGGAGGAAACUCUGACGCAGCGAUGCCGCGUGAGUGAAGAAGGCCUUUGGGUUGUAAAGCUCUUUCGUCGGGGAAGAAAAUGACUGUACCCGAAUAAGAAGGUCCGGCUAACUUCGUGCCAGCAGCCGCGGUAAUACGAAGGGACCUAGCGUAGUUCGGAAUUACUGGGCUUAAAGAGUUCGUAGGUGGUUGAAAAAGUUGGUGGUGAAAUCCCAGAGCUUAACUCUGGAACUGCCAUCAAAACUUUUCAGCUAGAGUAUGAUAGAGGAAAGCAGAAUUUCUAGUGUAGAGGUGAAAUUCGUAGAUAUUAGAAAGAAUACCAAUUGCGAAGGCAGCUUUCUGGAUCAUUACUGACACUGAGGAACGAAAGCAUGGGUAGCGAAGAGGAUUAGAUACCCUCGUAGUCCAUGCCGUAAACGAUGUGUGUUAGACGUUGGAAAUUUAUUUUCAGUGUCGCAGGGAAACCGAUAAACACACCGCUGGGGAGU